AGUAAAAUGAAGUGCGUUAAGUCAAUACUUUGAGAAUUAGCCGUGAGUCAUAGAAACCUUAGAUUGUGUUCGUCGAGUUUGGAUCUAAUAAGCAAAUCAAAUCUUGUUGAAGAUUCUUCUGUUCGAUUGCGUUCCUUUUUGAUUUGAUUCGACUUAAGUUUCCUUUUCUACUAAAUGGAUUUCACGGAUCGGGUCAGGCCCGGCGACCCGUGUCGAUAAAUGCACAAGUGACCACGGCGUAGCCGGGUCUUUCGCCUCCUCGACGACGAACGCCCUUCUUCUCCUCCACCGCCGUUUGCUCUUCCGUCGAAAUCGCAGUUCCAGAUGAAGUUUCUGGACUGGUAUUUGAAGAUUGCGGCGGUAUCGGCGCUAAUCGGGGCUUCGAUGGAGCUAUUCAUGAUCCACACCGGUUUCUACGACAAGGUCACCGUGCUGGAGUCGGAAAAACGUGCCUGGGAGAGCUCUGAAGAAGCUCAAGCCAUCAGAGAAGCUCUUAAUCCUUGGAGAAAACAUAUGACGAAUAAGCAAGAAGAUCCUCACGAGUGCUGAGAUUGAGAUUCUGUAGCAGUUUGUUGGUGAAUGUUAUUUUUCUUCUGCAGGACAUCACAACCACUUUUUGUUUCUGUUGGAAGAGCGAUACGAUCAUUUGUGAUA